CAGGUUUUACCGGUAGUGCUGGCACUGCAGUUGUUACAAGUCAUAAGGCAGCUCUUUGGACAGAUGGGAGAUAUUACCUCCAGGCUGAGAAGCAGUUGAGCUCGAGCUGGACCCUAAUGCGAUCUGGUAGCUCGGGUGUCCCUAGCACUGCCGAGUGGCUAAAUGAUGUUUUAGCUCCUGGUAGCAGAAUCGACAUCGAUCCCGGAGCAGUUUCUUUUUUCUUCUGAUGCUGUGAAUGAAUUAAAGGAAAGCGUAGCUAAAAGCAAUCACGAGUUAGUUUACUUAUAUCGUGUAAAUCUUGUGGACGAAAUU